CCAGUAUUGACUGUGCUGCUGA
rnacentral:miRNA from 2 species